AAAUUUACCAAUUGUGUGAAGUUGAACAAAUAUUAUACUAAAAAUACGAUACUAAGUGUUCUCCGUAUAGCAACUACCUACCUGCAUUAUAUACUAUACAGCUAGUAUAUUCUAGGAUAGAUUAUUUAAAUAAUUAAAUUUAUUGAAUGCACUUAUUAAUUGUUAUUGAAAUAUUAAUGCUGGGUAUACGGCCAUAUAAUACGUUGUAAGAGUUGGACAGAAGGGUACUUAAAUAUUCAACAGUCAACAGUCACUGCUUGAACGGCUCAGACAUCAAAUAUAAAGUGACCUAUAUGGCUAUAUAUUAUUAUGACAUUGGUCCAUUAAAUUAAUCUUAUUGACCAAAAUAUGUUUAUUCAUACAGCAUAUACAAAUAUAUAUAUAUUAUUAUAUUGACACGCAACUCAUUAUAUAAUUAGCUUUUGACUGAUGAACUUCAAUUUAAAAUUACAUAAAAAAAUAUAUAUAUUUAAGGAACUAUCUAUUUAAUUAUAAUUAUAGCCUGUAUAGAGGCGUACCUAUAUAAAAUAAUUUGUUAUUACACUAACCAUACCAUUCAUACCUACCUAUGGGUAAUAGAUAUUGCUUAGUAUCUACAGCCAUAAUCUACAAAGUACAACGUUUACAUACAAAUACCUAAAAUAUAAUAUAAAAUUUUAGAAAAAUUUAAAAAAUAACAUUGAAGUAUUCGAAGAACAAAAAGAAAAGAAAAAACAAAACGAUAAUAUGGAAAAUGUAUUAAAUUCUAGACAACCUUUAUCUAUACUCACAAAAAUAAUUGAAUCAGUAAAAAAUUUAGAAAUCUAACAAAUUAAAUUAAAUCUAUCUCAGAAAGAAAAUGUUGUAAAGGAAAAAUUGGAUAAUUUGCAAAAAUAAAAACAUCAGAUGUUAACAGAACUCAGAGCAACUUAAGAUGAUAUUAGAAGUAAAUAUAAGAGUGGAAAACGGAAAUUAUAAAUUACUAAUUAGGUACAACCAAUAGUAAACUAUAAUAUUAUUGCAGUAGAAAUAAUUUUACGAUGUUCGAGAAACCGUUUGUUAGUAUUGAUGAUGUACCCGAGGUUCAGUAAUCACUUAAAGAAGUAGUUAAGCUGUUUUUCAAUCUAGAAAGCCAAGGCUAUAACCACUGUACUUGUGAUCAUUGUUCAAAAAUGCAAAACAAAGAGAUGCAAGUUUAAAGUUGCUGAAGUUUUAUGCAUCUCAAAAUACCAUAAUGACUGGCUUUGGAUAUGUAUCGCAUACCGUGCACCGUGCUGUGGCUAGUGUACUCAUCGAUAAGUGCGCACGAAGAUUUGGCAACUGUUGUUACUCGGCCGAC